AACUUUUAACAAUGGAUCUCUUGGCUCUCGCAUCGAUGAAGAACGCAGCGAAAUGCGAUACGUAAUGUGAAUUGCAGAAUCCAGUGAAUCAUCGAAUCUUUGAACGCACCUUGCGCCCCUUGGCAUUCCGAGGGGCACACCCGUUUGAGUGUCGUGAAAUCAUCAAAACCUUUUCCUCUCAUUUUGGUUGGGAAAAGGAUUUUGGACUUGGAGGUUCCAUGCUCGCUUUCAAAAGAAAGCGAGCUCCUCUCAAAUGAAUCAGUGGGGUCCGCUUUGCCGAUCCUUGACGUGAUAAGAUGCUUCUACGUUUUGGAUUUGGCACUGUCCCUUGGACGCCUGCUCCUAACCGUCCCCAUGGACAAUGAUGGUGCUCCGGUCGACCGCCGUCUACGUUGGCGGGGGGAGGCUGGACCCACGAAAAGAAAACCUUGACCUCAAAUCGGGUGAGACUACCCGCUGAACUU
rnacentral:misc_RNA from 1 species